AUUGAACGCUGGCGGCAGGCUUAACACAUGCAAGUCGAGCGGGGUGAUGGUGCUUGCACUAUCACUUAGCGGCGGACGGGUGAGUAAUGCUUAGGAAUCUGCCUAUUAGUGGGGGACAACAUCUCGAAAGGGAUGCUAAUACCGCAUACGUCCUACGGGAGAAAGCGGGGGAUCACUUGUGACCUUGUGCUAAUAGAUGAGCCUAAGUCGGAUUAGCUAGUUGGUGGGGUAAAGGCCUACCAAGGCGACGAUCUGUAGCGGGUCUGAGAGGAUGAUCCGCCACACUGGGACUGAGACACGGCCCAGACUCCUACGGGAGGCAGCAGUGGGGAAUAUUGGACAAUGGGAGGAACCCUGAUCCAGCCAUGCCGCGUGUGUGAAGAAGGCCUUAUGGUUGUAAAGCACUUUAAGCGAGGAGGAGGCUUACCUAGUUAAUACCUGGGAUAAGUGGACGUUACUCGCAGAAUAAGCACCGGCUAACUCUGUGCCAGCCGCCGCGGUAA
rnacentral:rRNA from 1 species